ensembl:snRNA U4 U4 spliceosomal RNA
AGCUUUGCGCAGUGGCAGUAUCGUAGCCAAUGAGGUUUAUCCAAGGUGCGAUUAUUGCUAAUUGAAAAGGGUCAAUAGGUGAUGUAGCCAUACCAUAUUGCUCUCUAGGCUCUGUGGUGGAUGCAAUGCUAUAGUUGUGAUAUUUCUGAGACACCCAUGUAU